UACGUAGGGUGCAAGCGUUGUCCGGAAUUAUUGGGCGUAAAGAGCUUGUAGGCGGUGUGUCGCGUCGGCCGUGAAAACCUGCAGCUUAACUGUGGGCGUGCGGUCGAUACGGGCAUCACUGGAGUUCGGCAGGGGAGACUGGAAUUCCUGGUGUAGCGGUGAAAUGCGCAGAUAUCAGGAGGAACACCGGUGGCGAAGGCGGGUCUCUGGGCCGAUACUGACGCUGGAGGAAGCGAAAGCGUGGGGAGCGAACAGG
rnacentral:rRNA from 1 species